UACGUAGGAGACGAGCGUUGUCCGGAACUACUGGGCGUAAAGCGCGUGUAGGCGGAUGGGCAAGUCUGCUGUGAAAGCUCCUGGCUUAACCGGGAGUGGUCGGUGGAAACUGCCAAUCUGGAGGACGGUAGAGGUAGGUAGAAUUCCCGGUGUAGUGGUGAAAUGCGUAGAGAUCGGGAGGAAUACCUGUGGCGAAGGCGGCCUACUGGGCCGGACCUGACGCUGAGACGCGAAGGCGUGGGGAGCGAACGGG
rnacentral:rRNA from 1 species